CAGUCGCCACGGGAAUACAGAGGGUGCGAGCGUUAAUCGGAUUUACUGGGCGUAAAGCGUGCGUAGGCGGCUUUUUAAGUCGGAUGUGAAAUCCCUGAGCUUAACUUAGGAAUUGCAUUCGAUACUGGGAAGCUAGAGUAUGGGAGAGGAUGGUAGAAUUCCAGGUGUAGCGGUGAAAUGCGUAGAGAUCUGGAGGAAUACCGAUGGCGAAGGCAGCGAUCUGGCCUAAUACUGACGCUGAGGUACGAAAGCAUGGGGAGCAAACAGGAUUAGAUACCCCUGUAGUCCCUGUCUCUUAUAC
rnacentral:rRNA from 1 species